rnacentral:ribozyme from 1 species
CUUUGAACUUCGCAGGAGACUGAAGAAACUCUUCUCUUGCACCUCCAUGGUCAUCGCCUGUGGCGACACCACUGUUCGCACUGAGGACGACCUCCAGAACGUACUCAAG